rnacentral:lncRNA from 1 species
UGAUUCGUCAUUCAGAUAAGUUAUGUAUGGUUCUACCAAAUUUACUUUAUCAUUAAUAAAAAUAAUAGUUAAUUUCACACAGGUCCCUACAAAUAUAGUGAAUGAUAAAUAUAUCCCUACAAAUUUCAACUUUAAUAUGUUGUCCCUGCAAAAAUCCUGAUGCUUUUAAAUAUGUCCAUAUGGUUUAUUACCAUUAGAGAACCAUUAAAAAACUGUUUAUUUUUUUAAUUUUGCCAUCACAAAUAUGUCCCUCCAAAAAUUAUAACAGUAUAAUAUAAGAGGGAGAAAUAUCAAAAAUUAACCAGAAUUAAGUAUUUAACAUACGGUUAACUAAGUAUUUCUAACGAUAACGGUAGGAACAUAUUUGAAAACAUCAUGACUUUUGUAAUAAACUAUUUUCUGAUUAUUCAAUUAAAGAUCAAACACAAAUUUUGUAAUAGAAA